AUUAGUGGCGACGGGUGAGUAACACGUGGGCAAUCUGCCCUUCACUCUGGGACAAGCCCUGGAAACGGGGUCUAAUACCGGAUAACACCGGCUUCCGCAUGGGAGCUGGUUGAAAGCUCCGGCGGUGAAGGAUGAGCCCGCGGCCUAUCAGCUUGUUGGUGGGGUAAUGGCCUACCAAGGCGACGACGGGUAGCCGGCCUGAGAGGGCGACCGGCCACACUGGGACUGAGACACGGCCCAGACUCCUACGGGAGGCAGCAGUGGGGAAUAUUGCACAAUGGGCGAAAGCCUGAUGCAGCGACGCCGCGUGAGGGAUGACGGCCUUCGGGUUGUAAACCUCUUUCAGCAGGGAAGAAGCGAAAGUGACGGUACCUGCAGAAGAAGCGCCGGCUAACUACGUGCCAGCAGCCGCGGUAAUACGUAGGGCGCAAGCGUUGUCCGGAAUUAUUGGGCGUAAAGAGCUCGUAGGCGGCUUGUCACGUCGGGUGUGAAAGCCCGGGGCUUAACCCCGGGUCUGCAUCCGAUACGGGCAGGCUAGAGUGUGGUAGGGGAGAUCGGAAUUCCUGGUGUAGCGGUGAAAUGCGCAGAUAUCAGGAGGAACACCGGUGGCGAAGGCGGAUCUCUGGGCCAUUACUGACGCUGAGGAGCGAAAGCGUGGGGAGCGAACAGGAUUAGAUACCCUGGUAGUCCACGCCGUAAACGUUGGGAACUAGGUGUUGGCGACAUUCCACGUCGUCGGUGCCGCAGCUAACGCAUUAAGUUCCCCGCCUGGGGAGUACGGCCGCAAGGCUAAACUCAAGGAAUUGACGGGGGCCCGCACAGCAGCGGAGCAUGUGGCUUAAUUCGACGCAACGCGAAGA
rnacentral:rRNA from 1 species